ACUUCGGUAAGUUCGAAACAGUCAUUUAAUGGUUGAGAGCGAAGAUCGGUGAAACGAAUAACAUCUGCCAAGGUAUAAAAGCCGUGACACGAUUGUAAGAGUCGAAAGAAACAGCUGGCCCACAAAAGAAUUCUUUCUGACCGCUCAUCGAUGGCGAAUGAUCGCUUUCGAUCGAACGCUGAUUCAUGCGGUCCGAAUUUCGGACGCUGCUCGUCGCAUGCCGAGUCGAUGAUGUGUUAAAUCGUCGAUCGCGCUUCUUUUUAAUUUUUCCAAUUGUAAGAAGAUUGAUUUCGAUGAAGACAGAAUGGUGAGCAUCGAAUAAUAUCGAUAAAGAGAACGAGAUAAUCAAAAACGUGAGAUAAGCUAUACAUUUGCGAUUAAUUAAAAUAUUAAAAAGUAAUUCAAACCAAAGGAUCGAUUCAUCUGGCUAUUAUAAUACAUCGAUGUGUUUAUUAAUCGUCACUAAAUAAAUCAUUUUUAAAGGAACGAACGAUAUACCUAAGUGAAAAAAUAAGAGAUGUCAUAAGAUAAAAUAAUUUGUUUUCUUAAUUGCGAUGCAACGAUAAUCUAGAUCUGUUAUAAUGAUUUGAUGAGAAUAGAUAUAUGAAUACAAGCGAUUCAUUCUUAUCGCCCUUUGGUUGAAAGCAAAGCUACACAUCCUUCGUUACGGUCAUGGCAACAUUACCAACGCUACGUUUACCGUGUCGAGAAUUACUGGUCCCCAGCUACGAUUAAAUAGAUCUUGUGUUCUCCAGUGCUGGAACAAAGCAACGCGUGCGCAUAUCUAGUAUGACCAGAAUGCAAGGAAGUCGUGUGCUGUAAAACACGUUGCGUCGUAAGCAGCGAUGGCAGUAGCACCUUUGUCGUGGAAGCACCUUGAGUACAAAGAAACGACAAUAUCUAUUCUCUCUCGGAGCAGUAUCGUACGAGCACGUAUUACCGUUAACCAUAAACAUUUGACAUUUUCUACGAACAUACACUUCGUCGAGAAAAGUGAAUUACACUGUUGUUAGGCGCACGCGCGGGUGGAGCACAUCCUUGGAUCCAACUUACGUCUACGAGAACACGAUGAUGGCAUUAUAAACUUCUACUUAUGCAUUACGACUUCCGAAGCAAUGUAAUAGGCUCAAACGACUUUAUAACUGUCAACGGGACGUAUUAAAUUAACCUUUCGAACCGAACCUUAUAUCUAUUAACGACAUAAAGACUCGAUAAUAUAUCACAUGUCAACUAUUAUUCUGGAAUUCUUAUUACACAAUUCAAGUAAUUUAUCUUAUUUCCAUUAACUUUCAAGGAGCAAUUUGAAUGUGAUCAGGAAUGGAGUCAAUUGAAGUUGACAUUGCAUGGACGAACUUGCUGGCGCCGAGGUUGAAAUAAUUCAGCAUAUUACACGCAUAGUUUACCGCGCGAAAUGUUCCGCCAUUUCUAACCACUUUGACUCUUCUUCUUCCUUUCUUAGUAAUCGCGUGAGUACAAAACGUUUAUCCUUUUGAUAACAAGUUAUCUAUAAUAUUUAUUAAAUAAUAUAAUGAAAAGCAAAGGUUUGCCUUGUAGCGAUUUAAUAUUUCUCGUUUAUGUUAUAAAUACGUUCGAAAUAGAGUUAAAUAUAGUUCCUUAUGCUGCAUUUUUGUAUUCUCUCCCUUUCUCUUUCUCUCUCUCUUUCUUUCUUUCAAUAUCGUACUUUAGAAGCCCGCAUGUGCACCUGAUCCGAGUACUCACGCGAUUGCAAUGGCAUACUGCUUUCAAACGAACGGGAUCUUAAAGUUGACGAAGAAAGGAGUUCGGUUUAUCGUGCUAAGAAUUUAUUAUGCCGCUGGCUGUGUGAUACUUCGACUCUAUGUCGGAAGUACCGAAUAAUAAAAAAUCAACUAUUUGUUAAUCACGAAUACACUUCAUGAACAUUACAAGAAUCUCAAUAAACAUAUAGAGAAACAAGAAAACGCAAUUUCAUUAUCUUUCCGUAUGAAUAUGGCAACCCUCGUAAAAAUGAUAAAUGUCUAAAAACCUGUCUCUGACGAUGAAGUUUCAAACGAAAAAGAAAAGUCACGUUACACACUUUAUCCAACGGAAUCGUCAUUACGUCGACAAUUCUGUGAUAACUUUUCUUCCUCCUUGAUGAUAUUCCUUCUUGGUAUCUCCGAUCCUAAGAAAAUCAUUUUCCUAUUCCAAGGCUAUCACAUUAAAUGCAGUUAUAUGUAUGUAUGU